GAUGAACGCUGGCGGCGUGCCUAAUACAUGCAAGUCGAGCGAACAGACGAGGAGCUUGCUCCUCUGACGUUAGCGGCGGACGGGUGAGUAACACGUGGAUAACCUACCUAUAAGACUGGGAUAACUUCGGGAAACCGGCUCUAAUACCGGAUAAUAUAUUGAACCGCAUUGUUCAAUAGUGAAAUACGGUUUUUCUGUCACUUAUAGAUGGAUCCGCGCCACAUUAGCUAGUUGGUAAGGUAACGGCUUACCAAGGCGACGAUGCGUAGUCGACCUGAGAGAGUGCUCGGCGACACUGGAACUGAGACACGGUCCAGACUCCUACGGGAGGCAGCAGUAGGGAAUCUUCCGCAAUGGGCGAAAGCCUGACGGAGCAACGCCGCGUGAGUGAUGAAGGUCUUCGGAUCGUAAAACUCUGUUAUUAGGGAAGAACAAAUGUGUAAGUAACUAUGCACGUCUUGACGGUACCUAAUCAGAAAGCCACGGCUAACUACGUG
rnacentral:rRNA from 1 species